rnacentral:tRNA from 1 species
GGGCAGGUAGUUAAACCUGGCAUAAUGCCCCGUUGGCUUCGGGGAGGCUCCGGGUUCAAAGGGCGAGAGCUUUUUACAAAAAACCUCGGAAAAAGUGAGUGUUGAGGCUAAUGCCUCAAGCACUCGGUUACGAAAAAUUGGCUCUAGCCUGAAAGUCCCGGCCUGUCCA